rnacentral:rRNA from 1 species
UACGUAGGGUGCGAGCGUUGUCCGGAAUUAUUGGGCGUAAAGGGCUCGUAGGCGGUUUGUCGCGUCGGGAGUGAAAACUAGGGCUUAACCCUGAGCCUGCUUCCGAUACGGGCAGACUAGAGGUAUGCAGGGGAGAACGGAAUUCCUGGUGUAGCGGUGAAAUGCGCAGAUAUCAGGAGGAACACCGGUGGCGAAGGCGGUUCUCUGGGCAUUACCUGACGCUGAGGAGCGAAAGUGUGGGGAGCGAACAGG